CAAUAGCGUAUAUUUAAGUUGUUGCAGUUAAAAAGCUCGUAGUUGGAUUUCGGUUAAGAGCGACCGGUCCGCCGUUUGGUGUGCACUGGUUGGUUUUAACUUCCUGUAGAGGACGUGCUCUGGGUUUAACGACCUGGACUCGGAGUCUACGUGGUUACUUUGAAAAAAUUAGAGUGUUCAAAGCGGGCUUACGCUUGAAUAUUUCAGCAUGGAAUAACACUAUAGGACUCCUGUCCUAUUUCGUUGGUUUCGGGACGGGAGUAAUGAUUAAGAGGAACAGUUGGGGGCAUUCGUAUUUCAUUGUCAGAGGUGAAAUUCUUGGAUUUAUGAAAGACGAACUUCUGCGAAAGCAUUUGCCAAGGAUGUUUUCAUUA
rnacentral:rRNA from 1 species